CGGUAGAGAGAAGCUUGCUUCUCUUGAGAGCGGCGGACGGGUGAGUAAUGCCUAGGAAUCUGCCUGGUAGUGGGGGAUAACGUUCGGAAACGGACGCUAAUACCGCAUACGUCCUACGGGAGAAAGCAGGGGACCUUCGGGCCUUGCGCUAUCAGAUGAGCCUAGGUCGGAUUAGCUAGUUGGUGGGGUAAUGGCUCACCAAGGCGACGAUCCGUAACUGGUCUGAGAGGAUGAUCAGUCACACUGGAACUGAGACACGGUCCAGACUCCUACGGGAGGCAGCAGUGGGGAAUAUUGGACAAUGGGCGAAAGCCUGAUCCAGCCAUGCCGCGUGUGUGAAGAAGGUCUUCGGAUUGUAAAGCACUUUAAGUUGGGAGGAAGGGUUGUAGAUUAAUACUCUGCAAUUUUGACGUUACCGACAGAAUAAGCACCGGCUAACUCUGUGCCAGCAGCCGCGGUAAUACAGAGGGUGCAAGCGUUAAUCGGAAUUACUGGGCGUAAAGCGCGCGUAGGUGGUUUGUUAAGUUGGAUGUGAAAUCCCCGGGCUCAACCUGGGAACUGCAUUCAAAACUGACUGACUAGAGUAUGGUAGAGGGUGGUGGAAUUUCCUGUGUAGCGGUGAAAUGCGUAGAUAUAGGAAGGAACACCAGUGGCGAA
rnacentral:rRNA from 1 species